rnacentral:rRNA from 1 species
UACGUAGGUGGCAAGCGUUGUCCGGAUUUAUUGGGCGUAAAGCGCGCGUAGGCGGCCCCGUAAGUCCGCUGUGAAAGUCAAAGGCUCAACCUUUGAAAGCCGGUGGAUACUGUGGGGCUAGAGUACGGAAGAGGCGAGUGGAAUUCCUGGUGUAGCGGUGGAAUGCGCAGAUAUCAGGAGGAACACCAAUAGCGAAGGCAGCUCGCUGGGACGUUACUGACGCUGAGGCGCGAAAGCGUGGGGAGCGAACAGG